rnacentral:rRNA from 1 species
CAGACGGGUGAGUAACACGUGACCAACCUACCCUAGAGUGGGGGAUAACUAGCCGAAAGGUUAGCUAAUACCGCAUGACACGAACCGAGGCAUCUCGGAACGUUGAAAGGAGCAAUCCGCUCGAGGACGGGGUCGCGUCCGAUUAGCUAGUUGGUGGGGUAACGGCCUACCAAGGCUCCGAUCGGUAGCUGGUUUGAGAGAGCGACCAGCCACACUGGGACUGAGAAACGGCCCAG